UCUGAAAGAGAAGAGUGAGUUAAGAGAGAGAGGAUCAUAUCAUCACUGUAUCCCGUUUUCUCUUCGUUAUCAAUCUAUGAAGUCAUGAUGUUAAAAAUGUUUACUAAAUUUAUUCAGUGUAAAAGUAGGCAUUCCCUUUUUUCUUUUUUCUUUAUUUUUUGUCAUCAAGUAGGCAUUCCUUAGUAACAGUGAAAUAGUGUAAAAGUUCAAAAAAUUUCUUAGUCGUAUCCCUAGAACCCUAAAUCCUAAAAAUCUGGCCUUCUAUCUCUUACGUCUCUCGAACCUUUCAGAGAGAGAAUGGCCAGAUCUUUUUUUCUCUUUUCUCUUCCGAUUAUACUAUAUCGGAUUAGCUUUCUUAAUCUUGUUUAUAGAUUAAGUUUUUUGGUUUCCAACUUUUGCUCGGAUUAAAAUAAUUCC
rnacentral:lncRNA from 1 species